GAUGAAGAACGUAGCGAAAUGCGAUAAGUAAUGUGAAUUGCAGAAUUCAGUGAAUCAUCGAAUCUUUGAACGCACCUUGCGCCCUUUGGCUAUUCCGAAGGGCAUGCCUGUUUGAGUAUCAUGAACACCUCAACUCUUCACGGCUUGCCGUGAUGAGUUUGGACUUUGGGGGUCUUGCUGGCCUACGAGCCAGCUCCUCUCAAAUGUAUUAGCUUGCCGGUGUUUGGUGGCAUCACAGGUGUGAUAACUAUCUACGCUUGUGGUUUUCCACUAGGUAACCAUCAGCAAUGGAGGUUCACCGGAGCUCACAAAUGUCUCUCCUUGCCAAGGACAGAUUUUGACCAUUUGAUCUCAAAUCAGGUAGGACUACCCGCUGAACUUAAGCAUAUCAAUAAGCGGAGGA
rnacentral:misc_RNA from 1 species